rnacentral:rRNA from 1 species
UUUACGGGAGGCAGCAGUGGGGAAUUUUGGACAAUGGGCGAAAGCCUGAUCCAGCCAUGCCGCGUGCAGGAUGAAGGCCUUCGGGUUGUAAACUGCUUUUGUACGGAACGAAAAGCCUCUUUCUAAUAAAGAGAGGUCAUGACGGUACCGUAAGAAUAAGCACCGGCUAACUACGUGCCAGCAGCCGCGGUAAU